rnacentral:rRNA from 1 species
UACAGAGGGGGCAAGCGUUAUUCGGAAUUAUUGGGCGUAAAGGGCGCGUAGGCGGCUUGGCAAGUGGAUGGUGAAAUCCCUCGGCUUAACCGAGGAGCUGCCGUCCAAACUGCUUCGCUUGAGACCGGGAGAGGUGAGUGGAAUUCCCAGUGUAGCGGUGAAAUGCGUAGAUAUUGGGGGGAACACCAGUGGCGAAGGCGGCUCACUGGACCGGUACUGACGCUGAUGCGCGAAAGCGUGGGGAGCAAACGGG